CAUAGAGGGUGAGAAUCCCGUAUUUGGUUAUUCUUUCUAGCUUUGUGAUACACUUUCAAAGAGUCGGAUUGUUUGGGAAUGCAGUCCAAAAUGGGUGGUAAAUUUCAUCUAAAGCUAAAUAUUGGCGAGAGACCGAUAGCGAACAAGUACCGUGAGGGAAAGAUGAAAAGAACUUUGAAAAGAGAGUUAAACAGUACGUGAAAUUGUCAAAAGGGAAGCGUUUGACACCAGUGUUGUUUUUCCGAAAAUCAAUUAAGAAGGACUUGAUUUUGUGUUGUAUUGACCUUAUCAGCUUUCUUCACUCUUUUUCGAGUUUUUCUUAAUGCACUUUUCGGUUAACAAGUCAACAUCAAUUUCUUUUGUUGUAAAAGGGUAUUUGGAAGGUGGCUUUCUUUUCGGAGAAAGUGUUUAUAGCCUUAUACCUCUACAAUCGGAGAGAUUGAGGUCUGCAGCGUAGAUCCUUCGGGGCUAGAUACACUUGUGCUAAGUUAUAGCUUUUCAUAGACAACUUGUUGACAAUGUUUAGUCAUGUAGCUUACCCGCUUGUGCUAUUUUACCUACGCUUAGGAUGUUGAAUG
rnacentral:rRNA from 1 species